AUCCUUUUGUAGUUCAUAAAUGUUAUGAUUUUUUUUUCACUCAUAAGUGAGAUGUACCUUCCUUAAAGGUUGUUAUACCAUCAACACAAUACACAUCUGACA